UGUUUGUUAUUUUUUUUUAAUGUGUGUGUACGAUAGUUUACGUUUUGGGUACGAUUUUAUUUAUUUUAUUUAUUUUUUAUUUAUUUAUUUUUAUUUUUUUACGUGUGUGUACAAUAGUUGGUGUUUGGGUAUGAUUGCUUUUAAACGCACAUGUACGAUUGUUUGUGUUUUGUGUACGAUUAUUAUUAUUAUUAUUAUUAUUAUUAUUAUUAUUAUUAUUAUUAUUACAUGUGGGUACGAUAGUUUGUGAUUUGGGUACGAUUCUUUUUACAAUGAACAUGUACGAUAAUUUGUUUUGGGUAGGAAUUAUUAUUAUUAUUAUUAUUAUUUGGUAUUUUUCUAUUUGUUUAUAUGUAUUCCUUGAUUUUAGAUUUAUGAGUGAAGAAAUAUGAUCAAUACAAAAAAUAUAUAUAUAUUACGAGAUUGAAAAGCAUUUUAAGAAAGAAAUAUGUAGAGAUUAUUAAACAAAUUCCGUCGAUCUUAAGGUUACAAAAAAAAAAACAGCAAUAAUGAAUGAGAUACAGAGAAAUUAAAGAGAUUUGAAAGCGGCAGAAGUUUGGCAUUUUUAGAAAGCUUGUUAAGUACCUAAAUUUUAAGUAAGUAAUUUAAGUGUGUUGUAGUAAUGUAAAGUGAGAUAGGGAUGGAGUGAAGAGAAUUAUAUUAUUAUUUUUUUUUUUUUCUUAGUGAUUUAGUGAAUAUUAUUAUUAUUAUUAUUAUUUAUUAUUAUUAUUAUUAUUAUUAUUAUUAUUAUUAUUAGUUAUGUUGAAUAUUACGAAAAAAAAAAUAAAUGGGCUGAUUUAGUAAAGACGGUCAAUUAUUUUAAAUACACAUAAUUUUAAAGAAAACGUAAAUUAUAGCCAUUUUUUAAGUAAUAAAAAGAAAAAAGAAAACGGAUUAAUUGAAUGAUGAUAUAAAAAAAAAUGGAAAUUUGAUCAGAUAAAUAACUUAGAAAAAUAUAGAAACACAAAUAAUUUAGAAGCUUAAAUUAUGUCAAGAAAUAAGUGGAAAAAUUAAAGAAAUACGAAUAAUUCUGAAAAAUAGACGUAUUUAAACAGUUCAGAAAAUUUUUAUGAAGGAAAUCAUUUGAAAAAAAAUAUAUAUUGACUUGAAAAUCAUAAAAUAGUCAUAAUAAUAAUAAUAAUAAUAAUAAUAAUAAUAAUGAUAAUAAUAAUAAUAAUAAUAAUAAUAGUGAAGGAAAAUAAGAAAAUAAGAAAAGUGAAUAAUUUUGAAAGACGAAUGAAGGAAAAUAAAAAAAGAAUGAAUAAUUUUGAAAGACGAAUGAAGGAAAAUAAAAAAAAGAAUGAAUAAUUUUGAAAGACGAAUGAAGGAAAAUAAAAAAAGAAUGAAUAAUUUUGAAAGACGAAUGAAGGAAAAUAAAAAAAAAUUAAUAAUUUUGAAAGACGAAAGAAAAAAAUAAGAGUGAACAAUUUUGAAAAACGAACGAAAAUAUAGAAAAAAAUAAGUCGAGAGAAAAAAGAAGAAAAUUAAUAUAAAAAAUAGAUUAGAAAAAAUACACCUGAACUUAGAAAACAAACAAACAAACAAACAAACCACGCAUAAUUUUCAAAACACAAAAUAAUUGAUGUACACAAAAACAAACAAAAACAAAGCAAACAACAGAAAUUACUUAGUAAAAUAAGAAGCUUGAUAAUACUUAAACCGUGUGUGUGUGUGUGCGUGUGUAUGUAUGUAUGUAUAUGGGAAGCUGUAACAAACAAACAAACAAACAAACAGAGGAAUUUAUAGGAAGCCUGUAUAACAAACACACACACAAACAAACAGGAAAUACACACAAAAUACUACACAGGUGUUUUUCAGGUGUGUGAAUGUGUGUAGCAGGCUUGUAUGGGGACACGAACACACACACACACACACACACACACACUGUAAAGCGUAAGUGUGUUUUUGGCAGGUGUGUGUGUGUUUGUGUGCGUAGAAGGCAUAUCUGACGGGCCAGGUGUGUAACUGUGUGUGUUCUGCAGGUGUGUGUGUCUGUAGAAGCUUAUCUGAGGGGCCAGAUGUGUUUAAUCAAGUGUAGGUGUGUUCUGCAGGUGUGUAGUGUUGUGUUAGUUAGUCUUGCCCUGUUCGGUUAGCUGGCAGGUGUGGAAAUGUUGGAGAUUACGUAUUUAGGGUGUUUUUGGGGUGUUUAAGGGUGUUUUAAGGGUGUUUGUUGCUGUGGGUGUGUGUUUCAUGUUUGUUUUGUUGUUUGUUUGUUUGUUUGUUCCUGUGAUUCAUCAGAAACUCCCUAAAAUUUACCGUAAUUCAAAAAAAAACUUAAAAUUUCUCGAUUCACCAAAAAAAAACCUAAAAUUUCCCAUAAUUCACCAAAAACCUAAAAUUUCCCACGAUUCAGAAAAAAACCCUAAAAUUUCCCUUAAUUCACGGGGGAAAAAACCCUAAAAUUUCCCAUAAUUCACCAAAAAACCCUAAAAUUUCCCAUAAUUCACCAAAAAAAAACCCUAAAAUUUCCCACAAUCCCUUAAAAAAUACUAAAAAAUCUCUAAAAAACUAAAUAAACCUUAAAACUCCUCAGAAAGACUUAAAACGCGUUAAAACAAACCCAAACAACCCUAAAUUACCACUAAACAACUCAAAAUGCCAAAAAGUCCCUUAAACGUACCUAAAACCCCUUAAUGUCCCUAAAACUUCUUAAAACACCCUAAAAUAACUUGAAACGCCCAAAAACGCUUCUAGAACCCUUAAACACGUCUCUAAACCCUUUUAAACAUCCCUAAACCCCUUUAAACACCCUUAACCCUUAAAACACCCUUAAAACACCCCUUAAAACACCCGGAAUAGCCACUCGCUCCACUAUCUAGUCAGGGAACUCCCCACACCACUCACUAGUCACAUCACGACCCGCGACCCGCCAGGAACCGUUGACCUGGUGACCUGACUUGACCUUGUGACCUCAUAUGGGGGGAGGAGGAAGAGGAGGGGGUUUAGAAGAUUUUUUUUUAUUUGUUUGUUUGAUAUAUUUAAAUUGUUGUUAUUAUUGGCUGUAUAGUAGUUAAGUUUGUUUUUGUAUGUAUUUAUUUGAUUAUAUAUUUUUUUUAUUAUUUUUUUUAAAGUUUUCAGUCUUUGUUUAUUUAUUUAUUUGUUUAUUUGUUUAUUUACUGAAGAGCAGAUGAGGGGACCUGCUUCACAUGCACUAUGCGGGAAAGCUGGAAGAUGGCACAGAAUUCGACAGCAGUUACCCUCGAGGACAACCCCUGACCUUCACGCUGGGGUCAGGUCAGGUCAUCUGAGGCUGGGACCAGGGACUGAUUGGGAUGUGCGAGGGGGAGAAGAG